GAUGAACGCUAGCGGCAGGCUUAAUACAUGCAAGUCGAGGGGCAGCGGGGUAGCAAUACCGCCGGCGACCGGCAAACGGGUGCGGAACACGUACAGAACCUUCCUCCAAGUAGUGAAUAGCCCAGAGAAAUUUGGAUUAAUACACUGUAACAUCGUAGGGUGGCAUCAUUCAACGAUUAUAGAUUUAUCGCUUAGAGAUGGCUGUGCGGCUGAUUAGGCAGUUGGUAGGGGUAACGGCCCACCAAGCCGAUGAUCAGUAACUGGUGUGAGAGCACGACCAGUCACACGGGCACUGAGACACGGGCCCGACUCCUACGGGAGGCAGCAGUAAGGAAUAUUGGGCAAUGGACGGAAGUCUGACCCAGCCAUGCCGCGUGAAGGAUGAAGGUCCUCAGGAUUGUAAACUUCUUUUAUGUGGGACGAAAAAAGCUUUUUCUAAAGCACUUGACAGUACCAUAGGAAUAAGCACCGGCUAACUCCGUGCCAGCCGCCGCCGUAACAC
rnacentral:rRNA from 1 species